rnacentral:rRNA from 1 species
CAGUCGCCACGGUAAAACGGAGGGGGCUAGCGUUGUUCGGAAUUACUGGGCGUAAAGCGUACGUAGGCGGUUUUGUAAGUUAGAGGUGAAAGCCCGGAGCUCAACUCCGGAAUUGCCUUUAAGACUGCAUCACUUGAACGUCGGAGAGGUGAGUGGAAUUCCGAGUGUAGAGGUGAAAUUCGUAGAUAUUCGGAAGAACACCAGUGGCGAAGGCGGCUCACUGGACGACUGUUGACGCUGAGGUACGAAAGCGUGGGGAGCAAACAGGAUUAGAUACCCGUGUAGUCCCUGUCUCUUAUAC